UACGGAAGGGGCAAGCGUUGUUCGGAAUUACUGGGCGUAAAGGGCGCGUAGGCGGUUUGUUAAGUUGGAUGUGAAAACUGUGGGCUCAACCUACAGCCUGCAUCUAAUACUGACAGGCUAGAGUUCUGGAGGGGAUAGCGGAAUUCCUGGUGUAGCGGUGAAAUGCGUAGAUAUCAGGAGGAACACCGGUGGCGAAGGCGGCUAUCUGGACAGAGUCUGACGCUGAGGCGCGAAAGCUAGGGGAGCAAACAGG
rnacentral:rRNA from 1 species